rnacentral:rRNA from 1 species
AGUGAACGCUGGCGGUAGGCCUAACACAUGCCAGUCGAACGGCAGCACAGUAAGAGCUUGCUCUUACGGGUGGCGAGUGGCGGACGGGUGAGGAAUACAUCGGAAUCUACUUUUUCGUGGGGGAUAACGUAGGGAAACUUACGCUAAUACCGCAUACGACCUACGGGUGAAAGCAGGGGAUCUUCGGACCUUGCGCGAUUGAAUGAGCCGAUGUCGGAUUAGCUAGUUGGCGGGGUAAAGGCCCACCAAGGCGACGAUCCGUAGCUGGUCUGAGAGGAUGAUCAGCCACACUGGAACUGAGACACGGUCAGACUCCUACGGGAGGCAGCAGUGGGGAAUAUUGGACAAUGGGCGCAAGCCUGAUCCAGCCAUACCGCGUGGGUGAAGAAGGCCUUCGGGUUGUAAAGCCCUUUUGUUGGGAAAGAAAAGCAGCAGGUUAAUACCCCGCUGUUCUGACGGUACCCAAAGAAUAAGCACCGGCUAACUUCGUG